AACGCGAAGAACCUUACCAAGGCUUGACAUGCAGGGAAAAGCCGUAGAGACACGGUGUCCGUAAGGGUCCUGCACAGGUGGUGCAUGGCUGUCGUCAGCUCGUGUCGUGAGAUGUUGGGUUAAGUCCCGCAACGAGCGCAACCCUUAUCCUAUGUUGCCAGCGGAUUAUGCCGGGGACUCAUGGGAGACUGCCGGGGUCAACUCGGAGGAAGGUGGGGAUGACGUCAAGUCAUCAUGCCCCUUAUGUCUUGGGCUGCAAACAUGCUACAAUGGCCGGUACAGAGGGCUGCGAACUCGCGAGAGUAAGCGAAUCCCGGAAAGCCGGUCUCAGUUCGGAUCGGGGUCUGCAACUCGGCCCCGUGAAGCUGGAGUCGCUAGUAAUCGCGGAUCAGCAACGCCGCGGUGAAUACGUUCCCGGGCCUUGUACACACCGCUAGUC
rnacentral:rRNA from 1 species